AGUGAACGCUGGCGGUAGGCCUAACACAUGCAAGUCGAACGGCAGCACAGGAGAGCUUGCUCUCUGGGUGGCGAGUGGCGGACGGGUGAGGAAUACAUCGGAAUCUACUCUGUCGUGGGGGAUAACGUAGGGAAACUUACGCUAAUACCGCAUACGACCUACGGGUGAAAGCAGGGGACCUUCGGGCCUUGCGCGAUUGAAUGAGCCGAUGUCGGAUUAGCUAGUUGGCGGGGUAAAGGCCCACCAAGGCGACGAUCCGUAGCUGGUCUGAGAGGAUGAUCAGCCACACUGGAACUUGAACACGGUCCAGACUCCUACGGGAGGCAGCAGUGGGGAAUAUUGGACAAGGGGCGCAAGCCUGAUCCAGCCAUACCGCGUGGGUGAAGAAGGCCUUCGGGUUGUAAAGCCCUUUUGUUGGGAAAGAAAUCCAGCUGGCUAAUACCCGGUUGGGAUGACGGUACCCAAAGAAUAAGCACCGGCUAACUUCGUGCCAGCCGCCGCCGUAA
rnacentral:rRNA from 1 species